UGCUGCUUCGCUGACGAGUGGCGGACGGGUGAGUAAUGUCUGGGGAUCUGCCCGAUGGAGGGGGAUAACCACUGGAAACGGUGGCUAAUACCGCAUAACGUCGCAAGACCAAAGUGGGGGACCUUCGGGCCUCACACCAUCGGAUGAACCCAGAUGGGAUUAGCUAGUUGGAGGGGUAACGGCCCACCAAGGCGAUGAUCAGUAGCCGGUCUGAGAGGAUGAACGGCCACAUUGGGACUGAGACACGGCCCAGACUCCUACGGGAGGCAGCAGUGGGGAAUCUUCCGCAAUGGACGAAAGUCUGACGGAGCAACGCCGCGUGAGUGAUGACGGCCUUCGGGUUGUAAAGCUCUGUUAAUCGGGACGAAAGGCCUUUUUGCGAAUAGUGAGAAGGAUUGACGGUACCGGAAUAGAAAGCCACGGCUAACUACGUGCCAGCAGCCGCGGUAAUACGUAGGUGGCAAGCGUUGUCCGGAAUUAUUGGGCGUAAAGCGCGCGCAGGCGGAUCAGUCAGUCUGUCUUAAAAGUUCGGGGCUUAACCCCGUGAUGGGAUGGAAACUGCUGAUCUAGAGUAUCGGAGAGGAAAGUGGAAUUCCUAGUGUAGCGGUGAAAUGCGUAGAUAUUAGGAAGAACACCAGUGGCGAAGGCGACUUUCUGGACGAAAACUGACGCUGAGGCGCGAAAGCCAGGGGAGCGAACG
rnacentral:rRNA from 1 species